rfam:Trichococcus sp. R210 isolate Trichococcus_R210 genome assembly, contig: TR210DRAFT_scaffold-12
AGAGUGUUAUGAUUAUGGAACGCGUUCAGCCUUCCUAGUCUAGCUCAAGCUUCUUCCGAAGAUCGCAUGAUCUUCGGAG